rnacentral:lncRNA from 1 species
UAGGGACUGAUCACUGGUGGCUUGAUCCUGCUAGGCCUGAUCUGCACUCGGACACCGUCAGGUUCACAGUGCUGUUACAACCGUCCCUGAGUUGCAGACCAGGAAGAAUGACACUUGGAUUCGCCCAAGGAUGCUAGAAGCACCAGAAGGCUGCAGAUCCUAUCCAAGGCCUCAUUGCCGCCAGAGAUGUACUAAAGUUUGUUUAAAUCCACUGUGCUU